rnacentral:rRNA from 1 species
UGGGGAAUAUUGCACAAUGGGCGAAAGCCUGAUGCAGCAACGCCGCGUGAGUGAUGAAGGUCUUCGGAUUGUAAAGCUCUGUCUUUUGGACGAUAAUGGACGGUACCAAAGGAGGAAGCCACGGCUAACUACGUGCCAGCAGCCGCGGUAAUACGUAGGUGGCGAGCGUUGUCCGGAUUUACUGGGCGUAAAGGGUGCGUAGGCGGAUGUUUAAGUGAGAUGUGAAAUACCCGGGCUUAACUUGGGUGCUGCAUUUCAAACUGGAUAUCUAGAGUGCAGGAGAGGAGAAUGGAAUUCCUAGUGUAGCGGUGAAAUGCGUAGAGAUUAGGAAGAACACCAGUGGCGAAGGCGAUUCUCUGGACUGUAACUGACGCUGAGGCACGAAAGCGUGGUAGCAAACAGGAUUAGAUACCCUGGUA